UGAGUAACCUGCCCUUCACUCUGGGAUAACUCCGGGAAACCGGGGCUAAUACUGGAUAUGACUCGAACAGGCAUCUGUUUCGGGUGGAAAGAUUUAUUGGUUGGAGGAGU
rnacentral:rRNA from 1 species